rnacentral:rRNA from 1 species
UACGGAGGUGGCAAGCGUUAUCCGGAAUUAUUGGGCGUAAAGCGCACGUAGGCGGUUUCUUAAGUCUGAUGUGAAAGCCCACGGCUUAACCGUGGAGGGUCAUUGGAAACUGGGAAACUUGAGUGCAGGAGAGGAAAGUGGAAUUCCAUGUGUAGCGGUGAAAUGCGCAGAGAUAUGGAGGAACACCAGUGGCGAAGGCGACUUUCUGGUCUGUAACUGACGCUGAUGUGCGAAAGCGUGGGGAUCAAACAGG